UUUUUAGGAAAUUAUUUUGUACAAGAAAUGUACUCAAAUAAUUGUCAAGAUGGGGGAGGUUUGUGUCCAGGAAAUAAAGUUAUCUUCAUCAUCUUAUUAAAUGUAUUUUUGGUUUCCUUUCACUCUAGCCUUACCUUAUGGGUGGGAGGAAGCUUACACAGCAGAUGGAAUCAAGUACUUCAUCAAGUAAGUACAAGCCUCUCAACCAAGUAAGCAAUUUUCCUCACAUCUGGAGAGAACCUGGAAGUUGCAGAAUAAUCAGCAAAACCAAGAAAUCCUCUUGGAGGUUACAAAAAUUAGAAACAAGAAAUGAAGCCUCACCAUUUUCAUUUCAUGUGAUUUAAAUGCUAAUAUCAGAUGUCACUUGGGGGGAAAAUCCCUAGUAAUAAUUUCAAGGGAGACAUCAAAAUGUUGGAACAGAAACAUUAUUUGAACUUAAAUGGUGGCUACCUAAAUUUACUUGCUGGGGAGUAGUGUUAAUAUUUAUGAAAAGUUAAUAUCUAAUGAAAAAAUCCAUUUUAUGUGUCUUAAAACUUCUUCACAAAAAUACCCAUAACAAUCAACAUUUUUCAGUGCUUUACAAUGUACCCAGACCAUUCAUUCUAUAAAUAUUUCUGUAAAUAUUUACCAGGCUGUUUCAUGCCUUGGAGACACAUAGGUAAAAUGUACAGACUGGUUCCCAGAUGCCUUGGAAUUUACAUAAUAAUGAGGACAGAUAGACAAUAUGUAACUUAAGAGAUAAAUAGGACAGUAUAUGAACAAACCCAAUUCCACUGGAUUCAGAACAACUCUUUGAGUUGUGCAUAUCUUAUCAUUUUCCUUAUUUUAAAGAUGAAGAAAAUAAGCCUUAAAUUGCUGCCAAAAAAUUCACAGCUAUGACAUAACCAAGCCAGAACUAGAGUCAAAGUCUUCUGAUCCAAGAUCUUUUGUACUGUACUAGACUGUCUGCUAGAGGCCUUAAAAACCUGGACAAAAUUACGUUGUCUAGCUGCUGAACCGGUUAGUUUUACUCUGGACAGAGCCGUCUGAUAUACUUCCCCUAUGUUCUGAGUAAAUCCUUUCAUGUCAGAAUUGGUGUUAUGAGAGCACAAAAGGGAAUCUCAACAGACUCCUGAGAGCCCAAGAAACUCCCUGUUCAUUCUUUUGGUAAAUUAUGCAUGGUAUACAUUUUAAAAGGAAAAGGAAGACAUGUCCUUGCUAUCCCUUCAGAUGUGCAAAUACUUUAAGCCCUGUGAUGUCACAUCUCUCUUAGCCUCAGUUUUCCAAUCAAUAAAGUAAGGGGAAUACUAUCAACUUUAUAGAGUUGUUGAAUCACCUAGCAUACAACUGUGAGCACAGCAGAUGCACAGUAAGUAGUCAUCAUCAUUUUGCAAUAUGGAGAAUUUUGGGUGGAAAAAAAACCUGAGAAAUCAGAUCACUAUUAUAAAGACUGAGAAUUCAAAACCUUCAUAUUUGAAAAAAAUUUGAGGAAAAACUAAGGAUAAACCUGGCAAAGUGUUUUCAUGGUGUGCUUUCCUUGUAGUCUGUAGUGAUAAGUAAAGGAAAAGUAUGAAGGAGAAGGAAUUUUGGAGCAGAGAACCCAGGAAUUCCAUGUGCAUAUUACAGUUAGAACCACACUAUUCACUUCCAGCUCAGACCUCUUUUGUAAAGAAACUUGCCCUCUGAUGUGCUGGAUUAAUCGUGAUUAGUAUCCUGUAGGGACAUCAGGAAAAUAAAACAACACAGUCAAAUUUGCAUUGAGCCCUAGCUGAUGUUCAAUUGCCAGACAUAGAUGUUGGUUUCUAUGUGUUGUGUCAUUUAAUCCUUUUAAUGAUAUCUAAACAGAUGUCACUUAACUUACUGAUGGUGUGAUGAGGGUGGUGAACUAUAUCUUGCCAUGUUGUGCUCUAGAAGAUCCCCAAAUGAAUGUAUGAUCAAAGGAAGGAAAGCAAUCAUUCAUUAUUAACUGGGGUUCUGCUUUCAGAGUCUCUUGAAAAGUGUUAAUAAAUGAGUCCAGACCCCGUAGGGAACUCCUUUGCCUAAGCUUAGCUGUCUGUCAGUAUAUCCUAACCCAAAACCAAAUAUGAGAGCCUAACUAGCGCUGUAUGAGAGACAGAUACUAAGAACACGAUUGCCCAUAACAAAGAAAAAGGGGGAGCAAGAGAUGGAUAGCCAGAGAGUCAGUUUGGCUCCCCACUGGUACCCAGUUGACGUAACUACUGGUCCUUACAGAUGGGAACAACAGCCUUGGGCUGAACUACUAAUACCAGGGGAAGAUAGCACCCAAGGAGAAGACAUAAAAAAAGAAGGGUCAGCAAACUCUUCAGCUGCCCUGAGAUCUAACUCAAUUCUUGUGGAAUAAAUAGGAAAAGAAGCCACAUUACCCAGUCCCGUUUACUCCACUCAGAAAAAUACCCCAAAGGAUGCAUUCUGGAAGCCCAUCAGUUCUCUUCCUUAACCUUAAUCUUAAUCUUGAUAUAUGAGGAAAGCAUAAAAAACAUGAAAUAAAUUUGUUUUCCAAAGGGCAAUGGUGGGUAUCAUUAUCUCACCAUUACAGCUGAAGAAACUGUUAAAGAGGCUAAAUUUGUCAAGGUCACGCACAAUAAAAUUGCAGAGCCAAGGUACAGAACCAGGGUUGUGUGGGUCCAAAGCCACCCCCUACACACAUACUCAGGCUGCACCACCUCCCCCUCCUUAUUUUAAGGAUGUCUGUUAACAUGUGACAAGAAAGACAUUUUAAACAGAUCUUGAUGCAGAUACAGCUCUAUAUCCAAUUUAAAAUAGCAAAAUAGAAUUUUGAUUUUAAAAAUAAGUAGUGAUCUUCUGGAGAUUAGGAAGGUCAAAGAGCAAAAAUAAGAAAAUCUAAUAUCGUGGUGCAUCUUUCCCCUCCUUAUGGAGGAGUAGGGUGCUUGUUGUGAGUUGGGUUUUGUUUUUAUCAUGAAAAUUUUACCUCAUUCAAGCACCAAGACUUAUCUAAACUGUUCUUGACCAAAGUCUUACUUUGAUAUGUGCUACAUACUUCCCUGCCUUCUUGUACAGAGCCCACUGAACACAAUCAUUAUGAACAUUCAUCAUUAUAUAGACAGUGAAUUCUGCAGGGGACAUUGAGCUGUAUGUGCUAGAGUAGAGACAAAUCUGUCAUCUGUCACUGCUCUCCAUGUGCCUGUCACUCCCUUCACCCCCAUAUUUUUUCCCUCUACACAGUCACCCUCUUCUCCAGGAAUUUCUUAUUUGCAGAAGAGAGUAAUCUAAUUUGAAUUGCUUAUAAAUAGUCUUUGAGCAUGGGCCUGCAGGAAUUGUGGUGAGUCAAGUAUGCAAGUUCUGAUGGGGGUGGAUUUAAUUACAGGAUAGCCAUUGGUUUAAGAAAAUGAGGAGCAUGGGCCUUGGACGCCAAGAACUUGGAUGCAAAUGCUGGUGUUUCCACAAAAUAGCUGAAUGACCUUGGGCAUGUUUAUUUAACAUCUGUAGGGUUUUAUUCCACAUUUAUAAAAUAUAAAGUAUAUUAGCACUUCCUAGAAUUCCUGUCCAGAAUGAAUGAGCUGAUGUACGUAAAGUUUGACAUUUGGUGGCAGUUUCUUCAUGGCUCUGAGCCACUUUGAGUUAGGUGAUAUUGCCGAGUAAGUAAAGUCUACACAAGUGAACAUCUACCAAGGUCCUUCUUAGAACUAUUUAGGUUUUGUUUUGUUUUAAUUUUUAUCCUUCCACUACCCCCAACCAAAAUUUUGAGGCCAUACAGCCUGUGUUAGCUACUGAGAGGGGAGGGGUUUAUUUGUAGGUGGAUGAUAGUCUGGAGGCUAAAGAAAUAACAAUUAACUCACGUUAUUGCCUCACUCACCUCUGCUUAAAAAGAAUAAUGACUGAAAUCACCCUCCCAGAACACCCAGAGAGAUGAUGGUUGGCAUACAGAUGAUCCCUUCCCAGAAAUUGGCAUCUGUCACUGUCCUUCCAGAGAUCGAAUCAUUAAGUCUGAUGAAAGAUAAGCCUCCAGCAAGAGAAUAACUGUCAGUGCUGUCUCCAGAAUGUCCAGGUACAUAUGGUCCUCACAGAGUAUUCCUAGCCAUUUACCAUUUCCGGGUCCAUCCACACAUCUAUUAAUACUUUGUCAUCUACUUGAAUUCUGAUGCCAGAGAAGAGCAUUUUAUCUGGUUUGGACAGACUUAUACAGCAUUGUCAUUGACAGAGCCAGUGUGUCAUAGAACUAACAAAUGUAUGUGUCUGUGUCUGUGUGUGUGUGUGUGUGUGUGUGCUGACAUGCGUGAACACAGGCAUGCUCACUUGCCAUAAAUAUAUAUGUAAAUCUAUAGACAUACUUGCAUAAAAUAUAUCAGUAUAUUCUAGGAACAUUUUUUUCUAUUUUCUCCUUAGAGAGAAAGUUGCAGCAUUCUUAAUAACAAAGUAUUCAUUAUCUUGAGGGUGCUGUAUUAAAAUUAUCUCAUUACUUGAUCAUUUUUUCGCUCAACUUCUUAUCUUCCCCUUGAAGUUGUAUACUAAUACAAAUUUACGAUAAUCUUUUCAUAUGAUUCUAUAUUAAAGUAUGUUAUGUGAUAAAUAAAAAUAUUUUGAGAGUUAUCAUGUUUAUUAGUAAAACUGAGUUUAUAAUUGCAAAUUAGACAUAGCUGAUACUUGCUUCCAUUGUACUCUUAACUUUCCAUCAAAAGAUUGAAUUUACUGUGAUCAAUGAUCAUACUUAUAUUAGUUCCCUAUUUCUACAUAAUAAAUUUUUUCCACCCAGUUUCAAAACAUCAACAAUACAGAAUUGACUUCCCUGCAUUAUUUUGAUGCUCUUGCAUUCUGUCUUCCUGAGUCUUUCAUGAAGUUGUCAAGCUGUUUGCUAGCUGGGCCCCCCAAGAGUGGCUUCCUAGGCUGGCUAGAAUACUUAUUUCAAGCUCACUUAUGAGGCUGUUGGCAGAGGCCUCAACUUCUCAUAUAAGUCUGUGGGGUCACUCCCAACAUAGCAGCUGCCUUCCCUAAGAGCAAGGGAUGAGAGAUACCUCACAAAAAAAAGCUACAGUGCCUUUCAUAACCAAUCUCAGAAGUGAGUGAUAUACCUUCUCAUCUGUUGUUCGUCACAAAGACCAACCCUGGUACAGUGUAGUAGGCAACUACACAAGACUGGAUUCCAGAUGAUGUGGUUCUCUGGGAACCAUGUUAGAGGAUACCUACUAAAAUGCCAUUUCCUGAUAUUAUGUCAAUUAAAUUAUAUGUACAUACAAUAUUUGUAAAUAAAUAGUAUAAGCUUCUAAAUAUCAGAUACUUGCUAAUGAAUAUUCAAUUAUAUUAUUGGUGACUUCAAAUAGAUAUAAUUAUUUGCUUUUAAAAAUUACUUGCAUGGUCUUGUAAUUCUCCUUAUAUGUCAAGUCUAAAAUCGGAGGUUAUUGAAAUACUGUUUCUCAUGUUAUAGAUUCUGUUCUCUAUUACACAUCAGUAGAAUAUAGGAAAUCUGUGUUGUUAUUUUUUUUAAUAAAACUAAAGUUUUGUGUAGAGCUGGGAAGGAAAGUAGAUGACAACUCACACCAGCUCUUAGUUGAUGAUGACUACCUCAAGUGUUGUUUGAGAAUUCUAAAGCCAUAUUUAACCUCACUAACAUAGGCCUUGAUCAAUUAAUUAAAGAUGUCUGCCGUGGGUGUGGGGAAGUAAUGUCUUAUAAGACAUGUGCCACAUCUUUGGAAUGUUGAUUUUCUACAGCAUAUUGCUAACAUAGAAACUCUGCUUGGAUGAACAGUAAAAAGGUAGCUAUUAGGUUGGAAUAACAAAUUAUGACAAUCACUCCCCAAUAUCUUAUGAGAUGUUCAAUAUUUGAAGCUUUGCUUUUGUAACUCUAAUUUUCGAUAGGCAUAAUUUUCUUAUUUCCAGUCAGAGUUCAUUAACAACCAUAAGUAUGUAUCUGAACUUUGGAUAGAAUAAGAUAGUUAGGUUGUUCCCAAGUAGGAAAGAAUGUGGAUCUUAACCUAUAUAUGGAUAAGAUUGACCAUUGUCAGCCUACUGUGUUAAUUAAAAACUUCGGUUACACCGUGUCAUCUCCUUUAUAAAAUAAAAAAUUGAAAACACACAAGGAAGAAUUUGAGCUUACAGUUUCUUAGGGCCUAACUUUAUUCUGCAAAUAGAUCCUAUCUUUAGUAAUUCUAAAGCAAUUAGAAAUUUGGGGGAUUGGAGAGGAAAUCUGGGAGAAUGGAAAUAAAAAGUUACUCCUUUUACCUUUCCCCGAAUCCUGGGCAGAUUGUUUUAGCUUCACUUUUUGGACAUUGUGAAGCUCUCUCCCUCUGAAGACCUCAUUGAUUUGGCUGCUUUGAUUCAUUUUCAAUAAGUUAAGAAAUGUCCACUGACAGACUAAUAAGCUCUAAGGCUCAUUUAAUGAGGCGUCAGGACAAUUUCUGUGCAACUGACUUCGGGCUAGGGUAGGCUCCUCGCUGUAUUCUGCAUGGAUAAGAACCUAAGCAUACCUUUCUUUUUUUUUCUUCCUUUUUUUAAAAUAUUUUUAGUUGUAGAUGUACACAAUACUUUUAUUUAUUUAUUUAUUUAUUGGUACUAGGGAUUGAACUUGGGGGUACUCAAGCACUGAGCCAUAUCCCCAGCCCAAUUUUGUAUUUUAUUUAGAGACAGGGUCGCAACUGAGUUGCUUAGCACCUUGAGGUUGCUGAGGCUGGUUUUGAACUUGUGAUUCUCCCAUCUUAGCCUCCCAAACUGCUAGGAUUACAGGCGUGUGCCACCACGCCUAUUUAUUUAUUUUUAUGUGGUGCUGAGGAUUGAACCCAAUGCCUGACAUGUGCUAGGCAAGCACUCUAUCACUGAGUUAUAAACCUAGUCCUCCAAGCAUGCCAUUCUUAAUGAGACAAUAAUGAAGAAACCAACACAGGACUUAAAAGUAGUCAAGGUAGUCCUGAUUAACAUUUUGCCUACAAACACUACUUUUCUAUGAAUAAGUUGUAAUAUACUAAAAUCCUCACUAGUUUGCAUUUCAAAGUUGUAACCACCUAUGUGAUAACUUAUUUAGAAUAUCCAUUCUGUUGCAUACGGUGUGGUAUGUGUAGGACUGAAUAUUUUUCCAGUGAGUAAAUACUGUUGGCAGUUUGGAGAAGCAAUCAAUGGGGGAGAGAAAGGAGGCUUCAGUACCUAGUGGACCUGGGUUCUAAUAUUUUUGUCACCACUUUCAAGCAUGAACUUAGUAUUGGUUAUUUCAAUGUAUCCUCCUGAAAACAAUAACAAUAAUUUCUAUCUCCCCAGAUGGUUUUGAGAAUUGAAUGAAAUUAGGGAUCUAAAGCCCCUGGCAAAAUACCUGGCUCAAGGUGAGCUCUUAACAGAUGUAGUUUCCCCUUCCUUCCCUUGCUUCAUUGCUAUUUACCAAUGAAGGAGUUUUAAAUGACAACAUUUGCACAGCUGCAAAUAGAAACCAGUAGCCAAAACCUACAUUUCUACUACUCUCUGGACAGUCAAAAGCCCAGUGAUAGGAGCAGAAAGGUUGCAUUGAUCAUGAGCCUGGAACAGCUUGCCCAGGAUUUUCUAUAAAUACCUACAAAGAUGUGUAGAAAUAUGAAAUUCUGUAGGAGAAAUUGUCAUUUAAACGAAAGGCCAGCCAGCUGGCUUGGGUUAUUCAGAAUGGCAAAGCCACUGAGAUGAAUAAAACAUCCAGAUCUAGACAUCCAACAUCAAGCUCUUUUCCCUACCAUUUCAAUAAUGACAGGUAUAAAUUGGGCAUGAAGCAUGAUUUCCAGAAUUUCAUUGGGGUAUUAAAAGCAAAUCCCCCAGGUUUGCAUAGAGUUCUUUGGAAAUUUAUCACCUUUUUGGAGUUAUACUUGGUUUAGCCAGAUGUAGACUUCUCUCUGCUUCUAGGACCCUUUAUAUAGAUUUAUUAACAUAUACUUCUUUUUGUCACUUUUCCUCACAAGUUGCUGUGUUAGCUUGCUAGUGCUUCCAUAAUAAAAUAGCCCAGAGUAGAUGUCUUAAACAAUAAAAAUUUAUUUUCUCACAGUUCUGGAGGUCUGAAGUCCCAAAAUAAGGUGUCAGCAGGGUUGGUUUCUGUUGAAGCCUCUCUUCCUGGACACAGUUCUGUCCUUAACAAUUGCUUUUCCUUUAAUUUGCUUUCUGUAAGAUCUUUGGCACCAUGUUCUUCAUCCAUUGGAUUAUUUUCAUUGUCAUAUAAUCUUUCUUGUAACAAAUUUACCAAGUUUUAGGCAAAUUGCAAGAAUUGAUUCAAACCCCAGUGCCUUUUUACUUCAUGGAAGUGGCCCUAGGCAUUACAAAGAAGCAACUGAGGAGUAAGGGAGUGUGGCAGACAGAAAACAGUGAUCUCCAACAAUGUCCAAUCCUGGUCCCCAGGACUUGUGGAUAUGUUAAGUUACAUGGUAAAGGGGAAUUAAUUUUGAUUAUCAGCUAACCUCAAAGCAGAGUGUGUGUCCUGAAUUAUAUGUUAUUGGCAAGGGGUAGAGAAUGAAGGAUAGAGUGAGCUCUUAGGAAGAGCUUUGUGUUUUUAAAACAUUUUAUAUUCUAAUGGUUAAAACUAGAUUUGUUAGCUUACAAGAGUAUUUAUUUGCCGUAAAUAAUUAUAACUUAAAGCCUGGGAUUCAAGUAAAUUUACAUAUAAAUGCCAGAAACUCUAGUUAAAAUUGAAUUAUAAUACUGCUUCAAUCAUUACCUAUCACCAAAUGUGUGAAUAGACCUUAGCAAGCUGCUUGGAUGUGAGCGUAUUGGCAAGGUGGGCUAUUUUCUGAUUACUUGGUGACUUUUGAGCUAAAUUAAGUGAGUCUCUUUUUCCCCAGGUAAUGUUCAAUUUCUGUAAACAUAUCUGUAAACUAUGUAAGACAAAUUCACUGCAUUAUCACAUCUGAGGAUUGUUUUAUCUGAACCUCAACUAUAAAUAAGUUAGUCUCCCAUUUUUCAGUCAAUGCUGUAACUAUAAUAAUAUGUCAGUGGGAUGUAUAUUGUGUCCAGGCAUCAAACAUUUAUUGAUUCCACUUUUUGUGAGCCAGACACAAGCUAUAAAGAUAAGAAAGACACAUUCCUGACCUGCAGAAGCUAAUAGUCUAGUGGACAAAAAUAAACAUAUUUAGAAUUUAUUGUCACAUGACUCAAAAUUUCUGACUGCUGGGGAAGCACAAAGGCCUCUGAUUCAGGCUUCACAUGUACUUUUUAUUCACAGUUAUUCAGAUAACAUUUUUUUAUAAAUUUCAUGACAAGUACUAUUAAAAAGAUAUAGUAGCAUUGGACAGAUUAUCUGUGAUCAUUGAGUUAAUUAUUCAAUUAAUUUCACCUUGCUGAGCUGAAGGGCCCCAUUCAGAUGGUAUCACCUAAUCCACUUCAGAGCCUCUUCAUGUGUUGUCAUGGAAACCAACCCAGAUAACAGAGGAGUCUAACAUACUGGUUAAAUUCUCAGAAGUCAGAUCCUGUCUCUAAAACAUGACUUGGAUGGAUAUUUCAACUGUCUCAGUAUUCCUUUUCUCAUAAUGGACAGUUAAAUCCAUGUAGUCGUAAGUCCACACAUGGCAGGCACCAUUGAAAUCAAUCAGUAUUCAAAGUAUGUGAGAGAACUAUAGAGGAUGAUGGUAUGUUUUUUAAAUCCCAUAAUUUUUCACUAGAAUUAGAGGGUUCAAGCACUCACUCUCAAAUGACUGUAGCACUUCACAUGAUGGUGUCAGUAAUACUAACAAAAUACCUCAAGACCUCAAAAAUUUUCUCUUUAAGAAUCUCUCAAACUCACUUUCAGUUUUGUGAUAUAAAUUUUCUCUAAUACUUUAUAUAUAUAUAUAUAUAUAUAUAUAUAUAUAUAUAUAUAUAUAUAUAAAAUUAACUUUGGUAUAAAAAUAAUAUUAGAAUCGAUAUAAAAUAAGUUGAAAUUGUAUGUUUUAAAUUUCAGGUUUUAAAGUUUCAAAUUUGGUAAUUAAGAAAAAUAUGUUUAGUCAGAUGUUUAAUAAAUUUAUUUACUAAAUUAAGUGAAAGCCUGUGUUACUCAUAAUUCUAUCUUAAAGAACAUUAAAAUUAAAGGAGUUUCUAUAUUUUAUGUACUUUUGCACACUAGUGGGAAUUUAAUCUGAAAAUAAUGUGGUCUUGCAAAGUGGUUUCUAAUUAAAUUUAGUGUGUAUUAGUCUAUAUUCUGACAGUCUUUUGAUUGUUGACAUAAAGUAGCAAGAAAAUUAUUUAUUGCCGGUUUUCUGUAUUUUAAAACUAUAAAAGUAGUACAUAUAUUCCCUGGCAAACUCAGUCAUGGCUUCCUCUUGAAAUACUCCCUUGGGCUUGGCAGUGAUUCACAUAACACUAACUGCAGUAGCACAUCUCCUUUCAGUAGCUUAAUACCCACAGAUCAGUGCAGCAUUCCUGUUUAAUGGGUGUGGCUAUUUCUUCUGGAUGGUAAAUUUGAUGUCCAGACUGCUUCAUUUCUCUUGGUUCCGCCCAUCCUCUGCAGCCUCAGAGUCCUUUACAUGUAGUUAAUGAGUGAGGAUUGAAGAGUGUAGAAGGCACUCCAUCUUCUUAAAGACCUCAGACUCAUAAAAGAGAAACAGUUCUGUCCCCUUCCAUUGGCAGGAACUAAUCCCAUGCUCAAUAUAAAGAUAGGGUGGGCUAGGAAAUUAAUCUUUGCCUGAAUGUCUGCCUCCUAGCAGCAAUGCCACAGUCUGGGAUGGAGAACAUACUUUUUUUUUUGGACACUGUCAAAGGAUAUAUGUUAAAGUAUAAAUACACCCACAAGCCUAUAUCAUGAUUAGUAUCUUAUAGUCCAGGAUAUAGGUAUCUAGGUAUCGAUAUCAGUAGGACAUAUUUUUUACUUUAUUCUGUUUGUUUUUUGUCCUAUCAUGAUCAAAAACAGGAUUAAUUUUUCAGAAUUACCUAGGGCUGCAAUCUGUGAUUUAUACAGCUGUUUCUUUCUUUGAAAAAUUAAUUAUAUCAGUUUUGGAGUUGGGAUGUUACCUCUAUGUAAUGAUUGACAACAAUCCAAGUCAUAUAUAGUAUCUGAAGAAUAUAAUUAAUAUUCUUUAUGUUUUUCAUCAGGAAUUUUUAUCUUUUACAAGUCUAGUGAUAGCAAUUACUUCAAUAUUAUAUGUAAGUAAAAUAUUACUAUAGCUUUAGAUUAUUAUAAUUUAAUAUCUCAGACUAAGUUUUUUUAAUUAAUUGGAAUUUCAAGAUUUCCAAAAUGUAUUUUUAUAGAAAGGACCAUAAAUAUAUAAUAAAAAUAAAAUUUGUCCUGUAAAGAUUUGAAUGAGAUCCUGCUAACGUUUGAUCAGAGCCCUACUGACUUUCCAGAUCACUCAGUACAAACUGCUCAAAGUGUUCUGUGAUAUUUACAAAGUUCAUUAAUGAAAAAUAUUCAUUUUAGAGAUACAGUUCUAAAAUUAUGUAAGAGGGAAUUCUUGUAUUAGUGGGAACAAAAUGCCUAUAAUCUUCUCUUUCAUAUUUUGGGAUGGAUUCCUCAUAUUGCUGAUCUGUGGUUAUUCUCAUAACCAAUGCCUGUGGCCAGAUUAUAUGAUACCUUACUAUGGUUUGGUGAGUUUUUAGUACUUUUAUUGACGUGGUUCACCUUAUAUUCUUGUGCUCUAAUUUGUUAAUUUAAAAAAUGGAAAUUCUGUUUUAAGUGUAGAUCUUUUAUAUACUUAACUACUUGGAAUCUGUAGCCAGGAAUAAAUUUUUCCAAUGAUUCAAAGUGACUACUGCCUGAAACAAAUCAUAUGAACAUGUAUUUACUUUGUUGUCUGGUUCAUAUGAAUAUUAUACCCAUAAAGUUAUCCCCCUAAAAAAUGACAUUGGAAGUUAAUUACUUUUGGCUCUGAUCCUGCAGCUUGAUCUUAGGCAUGAUAAAAUAUUGGCAAGUCUUAUUAAACUCAGUGAUUUAUAAAUAGGGCCAUCUACAUUGGAAAGUUACAGAAGAACCUCUCCUUUCAUCAUCAUAGACAGUUAUAAGAAUGAAUUUCUACAAAACUGUUACACUUUUUGUCUUUAAGCCCACUUUCUGCUUAGCAGGCUGUCCUAAAUUUUUAUUUUGAAAGAAAGCAUUUGCUUUCUUUUUUGAAAGAAAGCAUUUUGCUCCUCUAGCUACGAGGUAAGAAACAUAAGGAGGGUAAUUAUAAUGGGAUUUAAAUAAUUCGCUUACAUUUCUUUGCCAAUGAAAUAAAGCAUGUUCUUUUAGGUUUUUUAUAAGCUCUAAAAUAUGUCCUUCAAUUUACUAAUAUUAUUUUUAAAAACACACAAUACCAUCAUUUUCCCGGAUCGAAUAUUAUUGUUUCCCAACAACAGAUUUGGCAACUAUUCAAAGGCAGGGAAUAAUAUGCUUUUCGGAUUUUCAAAUAUGUCUGAACUGCUGUUGAUUGCUCUCCAAAUCAGGUCAGAUGCACUGUCUCUGCAGGAGCAUUUGCCAGAGGUACUGUAUGUUCAAAUGGACGGUUUUUAUGUUUUGUAGUCAGCUUCAUUUAUUUUCUGGACCUCUAAAUUUUUCCUUCUAAAUAGCAGCAUCUCCCUUUAUUCACCAUCGGGUCUUUAUUAAUUAAACAGAAUCAACAGGACUGGUUUAUUCUCUCUUUUCAGCUGAGUUACCAAGUGCACAAAUCAGAGAGGAAAUAUUUCUAAUACUAGAAUGUUCUCAAAGCCAGUAAAUCUGGGAUUAUCUCAUCACACCGAUUAUGUCAAAGCUCUUUAGCCACAGUGCUCACAAAGACCUAAAAUUGAAUGGUAUACUCAAAACUGGCCCCAUUCCAGCAUCAUAGGCAAAAUUCCAAGUUUUUCUUACAAUAAUCAGAAAGCCCUAAUUAUCAAUAGACUGUGAUCAUUCAUUGAAUAUGUGCUCUUUGCCAGGACCUUCACAUGCAUUACCUGAGUUUCAGAAACUCUGACCCCUUGCUUCUGGAUGCAUUUACCCAAGAUUCUGCUGUGGAAAUAUAUUCUCAAAGCACAGAAAACAUCACCCUGUUGUUUCAGUGUUAUUGUUUCCUAGUGAGUCAUUGAAGUAGCUACAUGUUUGACACUUAGGUGUGCUUGUGUGUUUUUAAGCAAGUCCAGAAAAGUAUGCUGUGAAUGUAAGACUGAUAAAAUUUGAAUUUCAUGGAAUUACCUUUCUAUUUGGAGCAAGAUCAGAUGUUGAUUUGCUGAUUUAAAAAAAUCACUUCAGUUUUUUUUAAACAUCUUACUUUUGAUUAUUUUAAUCACCAAUCUAAUGGACUCUGUAUUUGUGCAGUUAUAAUAUUUCAAGUAUAAGAAUAUUGUGUGAAAUAGUCAAAUUGCAAAACAUGAACCUAAAUUUUUCCCUUAGGUGGUUGCUCCUGGUUUCCUUUCUUCCCAUCCUCCCCAAUUAGGGAACAUUAUAGGGGAGGGAAAUUUUAAAGAUAACUUAAAUUGCAGUCUCUCCCUUGGACCAACAUAUUGUAAGUGUGCUGAUAAACAUGACACUCAUGGAUACCGAGACUGUGAAAUAAGCAGAGAAUUCUCCUCCAGCUUCUUCGCUUCAAACACACACUUUUGACAGGAUGUUGUGUCCUCGUUUCACCUUGCAGUGCCAUUCCACCCUUCUUAUGCUGCUCUCGUUAGUAUUUCUUUAAAACCACUUUCAAUUUAGGCAGCUUCCCAGCUUUAUAAAGGCCUUGAAAUGAAAUUAACCUGUACCGAAUCAGAUGCUUUUGUAAAUUUAGCCAUCAUCAAGAAAAAUUCCUUUAAACCACUUUAAAGAGUGAAUAGUAAUAUGGAUUAUUGUGAAGAGAAUAAUGAUUCUUUGUACCACUUAACCAUGCUUCAAGGUUUUGAAACUAUGAAGAUAUCUGGGCCUUGUCACAUUCACCUUGGUUCUUAAAUGGCAUGAGCUCCUUUAACCCCAUUGUGAGAUUAUCAGCAAUCUUCUUCCACAGAAAGCUACAUCUAUAAUAUUUAAACAGAGAAGCUGAAUAAUUUGUUCAGAGUGAUUCGAACAAAAGUUAGAGGAUAGGAUUGAAAACAAACCAAGUCAGAAAUGACAGUCCCAUAUUUGUAUCAGUCCCAUAUUUUCAGUAACUGGCAUCAAUAGCCAAUAAAAUGGGUUCAUUUUUGUGAUACUUCCUGAACACUAGCCCUAUGUGUAAGUAGCAGGAGCAUGCUAGUUUAAGUAAUGUUGCAUAUUCAAAGAUUCAUGGGACAAAUUAGCAUAUUAAAGGUGCUGGGAAGUCCUAUACUUAAGAACCCCAUUUGCCUAUAUUUAACCUGUAGGAUUUGACAUCAUACAAGUCUUUCUUCAUACAGCAUUUAUUAAAAACUCUUGGAACAUACUUUGGAAAAUGUUGUUGUAUGACCUAGGCCAUACAUUCGGAUCCACAGUCUAUUAGAUCUUCAUGGGCACUGGCCUUCAGGCACACUUAAUCUAAGACGUGAUGCUGCUUCUGAGGUUGGUGUGGGAGGAUAGGCUGGGGAAACUGAUCUAGGGUGGAUGCAGGCAGUGUGGCAAAUCAGAGCUAGAGACAGUUCCCAAAAAGAAGAAACAAAUUUCCAUCCUAAAUUCAGAAGCUGUCUGUCAAACUCUCAGGAGGUAGGCAAACAGUGGAUUUAGGAGAUUCAUCUAGCUGAAGGCUUAGAGUAAGAGAUGAGUCCUGAGAAACACCAUCCCAUCCAGCAAGUAGGACCAAGGUUGUGUGAUGUUUUACUACUCCCUGCACAUGCCCACUAUCUUUUGUACCUCCUUCCUCAAAUUUGUGUUCUUUUCCUAAAUUUGUCUUUCAGGAUGCUAAUCCUUUGUUCUGAGAACAUGUCAGGCACCAUAAAUUCCAAGAUAAAAAAUAGUUCCUACCCUCGAAGAGCUUCAAAUGUUGUAAAAAAGCCUACAAACAAAUAGGCAUUAAAAAUACAGUAUAAUAAGAGACAAGACUGUGCAUAGAUUGGAGGAAUCUUAAGGGAGAUUUUGGUUCUUUAGAAUGAGGAUAAGUUAACUCCUUAGGGAAGAGGAUUGUGGCAGAGAAGGAAAUGUUAUUGCGGAGUAUAAAAAACAAGAUGUUUCAUACUAUAGAAUGUGUAUUUGUUCCAGAAGCCAUUAAUUGGAUUUGUCAUAGAUCUCUAUGCUGGAGUAGGCGAUGAAUUAGGAAACAAUUAGAACAGAGGCAGUCACUAUUUUAGUGACCCAGACUACUGCAUUGGGAAAGGAGAGGGGGAACAGAUUGCUGAGAUAUUACAGCUAGACAAUCAUAGGACUUGCUAACUGAUAUUAUCCAGUAAGGAAAAAAGAGAAAUCAAAGAUGAUACAUUAACCUGCAUUCCUUGUUACCAGUGAGGAAAGAAGGAGAUGGAUUUUCUUCAAACCUUAAAACAUGCCUAAGAUUUAUUCAUACCGGUUGGGUUCAGUUCUAACUGCUUUCUAUCACCAGGGACUGCAGAAGGGUGGCUGCAGUGGAAACAAGAUCAGUACUUGUGUGGCUGGGUAGAAAGAUCAUCAUUCAGAUCCUAAUUUGUAUUCCUUGUUCUUCUCAAGUCACGUAACACAGACUACAUCCUGGAUUCACCCCGUGAGGAGUAUCUUGAACCUGUCUUGCUCAGAGGAGAAUGAAGAGGAUUGCUCUAGAGAUCUCACCGACCAGAAGAGUUGAUGGUUUUCUGUAGGAAGCGGAGCUCCACAGUCUUCCGGCAUCUCAGUCUGUGAGCGUGACUUGAGCAGAGACCUGUGACACCCAACUCUGAGACACAGCCAUCUGAAAUAGGAGCAAAGCAGGCACUACUUGAUGGAGUAGGAAAUGGAGACUAGACUUAGGGUAUUUUUGUAAAAAUGUUUUAAUAUACUGUACACAUUUAAAAGUUGCUACUCAGUAGUUCCUUAAGAAUGAUUCAGUUAUAUCUUUUGAAAUGAUAUAUAAUUAAAUUUUAUAUGUAUACUUUUGUCUUAUAUAUUUACAUCUUUAUAAUUUUAUAUGUAGUUCAUUAUUUGGCAUCAUAUCCAAUGGUCUUUAUAAUUAAGAUCUAUUUAAAAUUUAUGUGAACAGAGUAAA
rnacentral:lncRNA from 1 species